AUAUCUUUCUCAAUCCUUUGGCUAAGAUCAAGCAAAGUGUAUGUUCUUAUCUUUUAAUAUCUGAUAUGUGGAUCAUUGCACCACACAAUAUUAACUAAAAAGGUCCAUCAGGGUAUCUUGCUGUCUCGGCCUUCACGUGCCACCUAAGCAUUGCACUACAUCGCAGGCGUAGCACACCCCAU
rnacentral:snRNA from 1 species